AGCGAACGCUGGCGGCAGGCCUAACACAUGCAAGUCGAGCGCCCCGCAAGGGGAGCGGCAGACGGGAGAGUAACACGUGGGAACGUACCCUUCAGUUCGGAACAACCCAGGGAAACUUGGGCUAAUACCGAAUACGUCCGUAAGGAGAAAGAUUUAUCGCUGAAGGAUCGGCCCGCGUCCGAUUAGCUAGUUGGUGAGGUAACGGCUCACCAAGGCGACGAUCAGUAGCUGGUCUGAGAGGAUGAUCAGCCUCACUGGGACUGAGACACGGCCCAGACUCCUACGGGAGGCAGCAGUGGGGAAUAUUGGACAAUGGGCGCAAGCUUGAUCCAGCCAUGCCGCGUGGAUGAUGAAGGCCCUAGGGUUGUAAAGUCCUUUCGGCGGGGAAGAUAAUGACGGUACCCGCAGAAGAAGCCCCGGCUAACUUCGUGCCAGCAGCCGCCGUAAUAC
rnacentral:rRNA from 1 species